rnacentral:rRNA from 1 species
AAUUUUAAUAGCCGCAAUUCGUGCUAAGGUAGCAUAAUCAUUUUGUCUUUUAAAUAAAGACUAGAACAAAAGAUUUAACAUUUAAAUUUUUAUAUUUUUAUAAAUUAUUAAACUUUUCCUUAAUGUAAAAAGACAUUAAUAAAUUAGAAAGACGACAAGACCCUAUUAAACUUAACUUAAGUUAAACUGGGGUAGUAAAUUAUUUAAUACUUUAAUUUAAAACAUUUUUAUAAAAAUCUAUUUCAAAUAAAUAAUUCAGUUACUAUAGGGAUAACAGCGCAAUUACAUUUUUAAAGUUCUUAUAUAAAAAAUAGAUUACGACCUCGAUGUUGAAUUAAUAACCUAAUUAAGGCAAACCUUAAAAAAGGAAGUCUGUUCGACUUUUAAACAAUUACAUGAUUUGAGUUCAGACCGGUAUAAGCCAGGUCGGUUUCUAUCUUCUAAAAAGUUUUUUACAGUACGAAAGGACCUAAAAAUAUAAUUUAAUUUAUUAAUUGGCAGAAAAAUGCAUUAGAAUUAGAAUCUAAUUAAACUAAAA